CAGCAGCCGCGGUAACACGGAGGGUGCAAGCGUUAAUCGGAAUUACUGGGCGUAAAGCGCACGCAGGCGGUCUGACAAGUCAGAUGUGAAAUCCCCGGGCUUAACCUGGGAACUGCAUUUGAAACUGUCAGGCUGGAGUCUUGUAGAGGGGGGUGGAAUUCCAGGUGUAGCGGUGAAAUGCGUAGAGAUCUGGAGGAAUACCGGUGGCGAAGGCGGCCCCCUGGACAAAGACUGACGCUCAGGUGCGAAAGCGUGGGGAGCAAACAGGAUUAGAUACCCGGGUAGUCCCUGUCUCUUAUAC
rnacentral:rRNA from 1 species